CGUGUCUUCCUCCUCUGCAGACCCUGAGCUCCUGACCAAGCCUGCAACCCUGAAUCCAUCCUGCACCCAGCAUCUCGGCUCUGCCAGAUGAGGAAACUGAGGCUCAGAGAGCUACGCCAGUUCCUAAAGGAGAAGAGUGAGAAAAGACAGUGCACGUGGAGAGAAUCGUGUACAAAUAGCACAAGGACACGAGGGUGACUUGUGAGUUGGGGAAAGGUUGGGUGUGGCUAGAACGGGGUCAGUGCCCAUCAUGGGUGAGGCCAGGAGGCGGGCCUGAGGAGCUGGCCUCAGGCAGGGGCUGGAUGCCCAGGAGUGGCACAAGCAGAGAGCGUCUUAGGAAGACGGGAUGCAGCAGAAGCGUGAAGGGUGGACGGGGCUGCAGGGCAGCGGGCGGAAUGGGCCCCGCUUCCUUGGUGGUCAGCCCGGCCUGGGCGUUUCGAGGCCCAUGGAGGAAGUCACGAGUGCUCGGAAGUGUCCGUCUCGAGCACCCCGGGGGCCUGGCGCUCUCACUUUCUCCUCCUUACUCCUGGGUACCACUGACACACUGUACAUGAUUUAUCUGGGUUUCACCCCUCCUGACCCCGCCCCCACCCACUCCCAAAAAUGUGGAUUCCGUGAGGGCAGGGACUCCACCUGUGUUCCCGGCUGAGUCCCAGUGCCUGGUAGCACGCCUGGUUCAACAAAAGUAUGAGGAAUGAAUGUUCAUUCAUUCAUGAGUAAAUGAAUUUGCCUUGUUUGUAUUUGGGAAGACAGAGAGGGAAAUCCAUUUGUGGAGGAAGAGAAGCAGCUGUGUGGGACCUCUCAAGACCCCUCAGCCCCCAGCAGGUGAUGGAUGCCGACUGACUUAAAAGGCAUCAGAACGUAGCAAGUGGGUUUGACUGUUUUUCGUCCUCCGAGGCUCCUGCUCUCCAGCUGGACCUGGCAGGGCCAGGGGUGCCGCACACGCACCUUUCACCACCCAAGAGGCAGCAGGGAUGGUGAGCGAGAGGGCGAGAGGCACAGGAAUCAGCCCCCUGCUGCCAACCCCCGCUGCUGACCCCUGGCAGAAUUCCCUCCUCCCCAGACUGCAGUCACCAGGUCAGCCUCCAGGGGGACACUCCCACUGGACAGACGAGAGAGGGUGGGGACCUCUGCCCUCUGGUUGUCCUGUGUCCUUCUGGGAUGGGCAGCCGUCACAGACACACAGACCUGCCUGUCUAUCUCUGGACACACAGCGGGGUGGGAGGCAGGUUUGUCCCAGCCUCAGGUCUGUGCUCUCCAGAGCCCAGCGCAGAGCCUGACACAUGGUAGGUGGUCAACAAAUACUUUCGAAGGAAUGAACGAAUGCUACCCUGAAACUUCGACUGCCAGGUAACAACAAUAACGUUCAUUAAGAAUCGUGACAGUAGUGACCCCACGAUGGUGAAGCCUGGGAGUGUCCUGGCGCACCGGAGGGGCAAACAGCACUCCCAGAUCCUUGUCCCUUGGCCUAUUGACCAACAGCACGGCCAGCAAGGACAUCAGGCGAGGGCUGGCUCUGCCGCUCCCACUAGUGGGGCCAGUGAAGAUGGACGCCUGGUGGAGGGCCCUGCCGGGGCCCUGGACAGUCCUGCCCUUCCAGGUCACAGGGCCCAGCUCUGCCCAGAAGUCUUUAUUUUUUUUUAAUCAAAUUUUUUUUUUUUUAAAGAUUGGCA
rnacentral:lncRNA from 1 species